GUAAGUAUAGUUUAACUAAAACAUCAGAUUGUGAUUCUGAAAAUAGGGGUUAAACUCCCCUUACUCACC
rnacentral:tRNA from 2 species